AACGAACGCUGGCGGCAUGCCUAACACAUGCAAGUCGAACGAGACCUCCGGGUCUAGUGGCGCACGGGUGGGGAACGCGUGGGAACUUACCCUUAGGUUCGGAAUAACUCACUGAAAGGGGUGCUCAUACCGGAUAAUGUCUUCGGACCAAAGAUUUAUUGCCUUUGGAUGGGGCCGCGUUGGAUUAGCGGGUUGGUAGGGUAAAAGCCUACAAAGGCGACGAUCCAUCGCUGGUCUGAGAGGAGGAUCAGCCACACUGGGACAGGGACGCGUCCCAGACUCCUGCGAGCGGCAGCAGUGGUGAAUAAGGGACAAGGGGCGAGAGCCUGAUCCAGCAAGGCCGCGUGGGUGAUGAGUGCGUUAGGAAUGUAAAGCGCCUGUACCCGGGAUGAUAAGACCAUAACCGGUAAAAAAGCCCCGGCCAACUUCGUG
rnacentral:rRNA from 1 species